AGUGACGCUAAUUGAUUUUGAAUCGAAGAUUCAAUUGUUUUGCUUAAAAAUGAAGUUAGUUGUUCCAUUAACUGAGCCUGUUGAAUGCUUACAGCAGACUGGACGUAGUUAGCGAUUUCCACUUGAGUGGUUAUUGGAAGGGUUGUGUUGUUGGUUUCAGUUUCUGUUGGUCGAUUAGACGUUCCGUCUAUUGUGCUAAAAGAUUCGUUAGCACUAGUUGGACGUGUUCCUUCGGCGUUAAGCUCGGCUAACAACGUGUUGUUAGAGAAUGUUAGUGCCAGAGAAGAACAAUCUAAUGAACAGGUGGGACAUUUUGGGUUUGUCCUAAUCUGUUCCAAAAUACAAAGUUUAUGGAAUUUGUGUCUACACGGGGUGUUGGCUAUCAUCUCACUAGUUCCCAAUACUUCGUUGCAAAUUCCACAAAAUGGUUCUGCUUCGUGCAAAGCAGUUGUUAUAUCAUCUGUACUUCGCCUUACAGCCAUUGUAUAUCAGACAAUAUUUAAGGAAUUAAAGAAAAACUAAUAAAAAAAAAUUAUAUAAGAAGGUUAAUGACCUCGUGCACUGAAUCAUUGGACAACUAUCGCGAUUUGGCAAUAUAAAAUUGUAAAUCCGAAUAACUCAAGAUGCCUAAAGUGAAAAAGCAGGUUUGCUUUGGUCGGUCAAUCCAAAAUGAAAUGAACUGGAACCGCAAAAUCCUAAAACAAUUCCUGUUUAUUCUGAUCACUGUAUGGUAUUGCAU